CAGCAGAGAUGCUUUAGUGCCUUCGGGAACUCUGAGACAGGUGCUGCAUGGCUGUCGUCAGCUCGUGUUGUGAAAUGUUGGGUUAAGUCCCGCAACGAGCGCAACCCUUAUCCUUUGUUGCCAGCACGUAAUGGUGGGAACUCAAAGGAGACUGCCGGUGAUAAACCGGAGGAAGGUGGGGAUGACGUCAAGUCAUCAUGGCCCUUACGAGUAGGGCUACACACGUGCUACAAUGGCGCAUACAAAGAGAAGCGACCUCGCGAGAGCAAGCGGACCUCAUAAAGUGCGUCGUAGUCCGGAUUGGAGUCUGCAACUCGACUCCAUGAAGUCGGAAUCGCUAGUAAUCGUAAAUCAGAAUGUUACGGUGAAUACGUUCCCGGGCCUUGUACACACCGCCCGUCACACCAUGGGAGUGGGUUGCAAAAGAAGUAGAUAGCUUAACCUUCGGGAGGGCGUUUACCACUUUGUGAUUCAUGACUGGGGUGAAGUCGUAACAAGGUAGGCGUAGUGCU
rnacentral:rRNA from 1 species